rnacentral:rRNA from 1 species
AAACCAACCGGGAUUGCCUCAGUAACGGCGAGUGAAGCGGCAAAAGCUCAAAUUUGAAAUCUGGCCCCUCCGGGGUCCGAGUUGUAAUUUGUAGAGGAUGCUUCGGGUGCGGCCCCCGUCUAAGUGCUCUGGAACGGGCCAUCGGAGAGGGUGAGAAUCCCGUCUGGGAUGGGGUGCCCGCGUCCGUGUGAAGCUCCUUCGACGAGUCGAGUCGUUUGGGAAUGCAGCUCUAAAUGGGUGGUAAAUUUCAUCUAAAGCUAAAUACUGGCCGGAGACCGAUAGCGCACAAGUAGAGUGAUCGAAAGAUGAAAAGCACUUUGAAAAGAGAGUUAAACAGCACGUGAAAUUGUUGAAAGGGAAGCACUGGCAACCAGACUCGCCCACGGGGUUCAGCCGGCCUUCGGGCCGGCGUACUUCCCCGGGGGGCGGGCCAGCGUCGGUUUGGGCGGCCGGUUAAAGGCCCCCGGAAUGUAACGUCCCUCGGGGCGCCUUAUAGCCGGGGGUGUCAUGCGGCCAGCCUGGACCGAGGAACGCGCUUCGGCACGGACGCUGGCAUAAUGGUUGUCAAUGAC